CCCUUUCGCACCUGGUUGAUACGAUCGUGAGUUCCCACUUUGAAAAUUCGUAUUUUGGCGCGAAGUCUGUUUAUCCGGCCCAAACCGAGCUCGCUCGAUCGUGCGUUCAUCGAAUAACCAAUAGAAACGCGCUGUGGUUCAAAUUGGAAUCAGUUGCGUCGUGGCAAACGUCAACAUGGCCACGUUCCAUGACCCCGUGACCGGACGGCGAAUGCAAUUAACAGAUGAUCUCGUCCUCGAACUGCUUCAAGAUGGAAAUUGUUCUGAUCUGUACUUGGACGAAGAUUUUUACCGGUGUAUGGGAUUAUCACGUGUAGCUACUACCCCGUACACGGCCGCUGUCCAUUGUCCACUGGCCCUGGGUUUACUUUGUCAGAAUUUGUUUCAAACUUCUGGAGAAAAGUAACAACGAAGUCGCGUGGGCGCACGAAAAAUAAAAAGUUUUCUGAAUAAUCCCAAUAAUAAUAUUAAUUGGUUCACAGAACUGUGAUAUAAUGUACCUUGUUAAGUGUUAAGUACAAUAAAUAGUUGAUUUUGAUUUAAAA